AAUGGAGAUUGAGCUCGCAACCUGUGCAUAUGCCCCGACUGGGAAUCCAAUCGUGAUCUCCCAGUUCAUAAGUCGAUGCUCAAACACUGAGCCACACCGGCCAGGCAACAUUUGGUCAUUUUGAAGAGAACUGAAGUCUUUAAAACCACCCUCUCUGUACAGGAUCACUGGGGUAACAUGACAUGGCCCACUUCUUUUUCCCCACCUGCCCCUAGGAAGCACAUUUUCUGCUUCCCAGCACCCAAGUUACAAUUCUGUGUAAUGAGAUGGAAGUAGAAAUGUCUGAGGUCUUUCAGGGAAACCUUUUACUUUCCUGGUAAAAGGGAAAGAUGACCUAGUGCUGCUUCUUUGUCCCAGUUCAACCUUGAGUGAUGUGGCCCUGAUGCCUGGAGAUACAGCAGUGGUCAGACUGUGGGCAAGAAUGCCAUGUACCAUGGAACAGAGCACUAUAGAUUCACUGCACCAGCCCUGGACUGCUUACCUCCGGACUUCCUACACCAGAAAGAAGCCCUUUCUUGUUUAAGUAGAUUCAGGUUUCUGUUACUUAUGGACAGACAAACCUUACUGAUAGAAUUGGUAUCUGAAAAUUAGUGACUCCCAGGAUCAUUUUUAAAUUUAAUACAGGACUUAGGAAAAAUUGUUUAAUUGUAUUUUAACACAUGUUUAGUACAGUCUUAAAUAUGGUGCCUGCUGGCCAGCUCAGGGGGGUGGGGAUGGGGGUGGGAGCAGAUUCAGAAAAGGAACAAUGGCCUCUGCCAGCAUGUUUGGGAGGAAGCUGUCAUGUCUUCCCUACCCCCCACCCCCCACUUGCCUCCCCCAGGUCUUGGCCCGAUGCUGGACAAUUCAGUUCCUCCCCAUUUGUCUCUGGUGCCUUUCAAGCUGCUGCCCCAGCACUGGAGCUCAGGAUUGAGUCUGACUGUUGGCAGAGGAUCCAAUAGAAGAUACCAGGACCGGCAAGAAGAUACGUGCCUAAGUCUGUAAAUGCAGAGUCUCCACCCCACCCCAUCCACCAACACAAACACUGCUGUGAGCACGAUACACUUCUAUGCAAAGCCACUGACAUCUGCCAGUUGUUUCUUCCAGCAACUUCCCUCUCUGAUACAGGCCUGUCCCUCUCUCUAGUCAUUAGCUGUCCUUCCAUCUGUGCAGCCUGUGCCUGAGGAAACUGCACAAUGGCCAGGCCAAAGCCCUGAACACAAUUACUGAUGCCUCCAGAACAUGACACCAUUUAGAAAUUAAUUCCCUGGCCAAUUCUUGGAGCCAAGGCUAAAUGGGGAAACAGAGGCAGAGGAAGGAAUCAGUGGCCAGAGUGGAGGCACCAGGAGGCAAAACAAGAGCCAGUGCUGCACUUGGUCACACGGUCCCACCUCUCCCCACUGGCCUGGCUUGCCCACUGUUUAGUUGGCCUCUAAAGUGUCCUUAUUACAGGUAAAGUGAAACCCCACAAUGAAGAAUCACCCUUUAUCUCCAGAAGUGAUUAUGUGACUAAUUUGAAAUCUCUGUGACUCCUUGUUUUCCUCUUCAGCAUCAAUUCUAGGACCAUAAUGGGGGUGGAAAGCUACCACUUGGCCUGAGAAGUUUAGUCUGAAUUCUGGGAAAGAGGCAGCCUGGCUCCUUAACUGUAAAUAGGUCAUUAAGAACAAGAACAAGUGGAUG